rnacentral:snoRNA from 1 species
AAGACUAUACUUUCAGGGAUCAUUUCUAUAGUUUCCAACUUACGAAAUGGGCUCUAAAGUGUCUGGACCAACCAGCCCCAGUUGGAGCUGUGCCUCCUGAGCGCGAAGCCGGCUUGGAGUGCUGCUCACGCAGCCGCUCCUCGCCAUUGAUGACCGUUCCUGCCGCUCGCAAGGGUGGCGGGAGGGAGGCACAGCAAGCUGAGGGG